CCUACGGGUGGCUGCAGUGAGGAAUAUUGGUCAAUGGGCGUAAGCCUGAACCAGCCAAGUCGCGUGAGGGAUGAAGGUUCUAUGGAUCGUAAACCUCUUUUAUAAGGGAGUAAAGUGCGGGACGUGUCCCGUUUUGUAUGUACCUUAUGAAUAAGGAUCGGCGAACUCCGUGCCGGCAGCCGCGGUAAUACGGGGGGUGCGAGCGUUAAUCGGAAUUACUGGGCGUAAAGCGCUAGUAGGCGGUAUGUAAAGUAAAGGGUGAAAUCCCCGCGCUAAACGGGGGAACUGCCUUUGAAACUGGCAAACUGGAGUGUGUGAGAGGAUAGGGGAAGUCCAGGUGUAGGAGUGCAAUCCGUAGAUAUCUGGAGGAACACCAGUGGCGAAGGCGACUAUCUGGCACAUAACUGACGCUGAGGAGCGAAAGCGUGGGUAGCAAACAGGAUUAGAUACCCUUGUAGUC
rnacentral:rRNA from 1 species